rnacentral:lncRNA from 1 species
AGGUUGAAAUCAGCAAUGUCUAUGACAAGUUCAUUAAUAAAGAAUGUUUCCCCAAGAAAUGUUAAUAAUAUGGAAGAUUACAUUGUAAGUGUUCUCAUGUGUACAAUGCAUAACAAUUUUUGUGAUUCUUAUAUCAAUGAAUAAUUUCAGCAAUAUCUUGGACAAGUUUUAAAAUCAGUAAUGAUCAAUUAUUUUUAAAAGAGUUAUUUAUAUCAAUGGUUUAUAUUAGUAACGUUGAGGACGAGCUGUACAUAUAAUGAAAUUUAACUUGUUUUAGGGUUUUCUAGAUAAUUGGUACAUUUUUUUUACGACUACCAUUGUGACCAAAUUACAUGUUCAUUUUGUUUUUAGCUAUUCAUAAUAACUUUGUUUCAGAAUUUUU